rnacentral:rRNA from 1 species
GACCUCAAAUCAGGUAGGGCUACCCGCUGAACUUAAGCAUAUCAAUAAGCGGAGGAAAAGAAACUAACAAGGAUUCCCCUAGUAGCGGCGAGCGAACCGGGAUGAGCUCAAAUUUGAAAUCUGGCUCCCUCCGGGUGUCCGAGUUGUAAUCUACAGAAGCGUUUUCCGUGCCGGACCGUGUCCAAGUCCCUUGGAACAGGGUAUCAAAGAGGGUGACAAUCCCGUACUUAACACGACGACCGGUGCUCUGUGACACGCUCUCUACGAGUCGAGUUGUUUGGGAAUGCAGCUCAAAAUGGGUGGUAAAUU